rnacentral:lncRNA from 1 species
UCUCCCCCUGCGCUCCCUUCUUCCACAUGGAGGACGACGUGGUCUUGCAUACGCUGCAGUUGAAUUCAGAGCAUGCCGUUUAUGGACAUCGACAAAGGGUUCAGAAAAUGCCAUCCACUGACAUCUAUGUAUUAGAAAUUGAAAUUGAGACAUUUUACAGCCUAAGAUGUCAAGCGCACAUUCUUCAGCCGUUGGAUAAUAUCGUUGCAAAUCCUGUGGACUCUGAAGAGUAUACCGAUUAGAGAAUGCGGAGAAAAUCGAAUAGCUGGCUGUUAUUCAAUUCAAAACUGUUGGAAAACAGUUUUGGCUCUGAGGACCCAGCAGUUGACAAACAGCAGGCCUGGGACAAGAGCAGUAUGAGAAGUCAGAUCGCCUCUUUUAAUGUCACUAGUCAGUACAGGCCUCGCCAGACAAGUCUCUCCUCAGCCUCACUUGGAAGAACAUGCCCUCUCUUCAUGAUCCUGGGUUUCCUAGACUUAGUAUCCUUGGAAAGGUCUUGAUGAAUAUAUUGUGGUGGGAAGCAGUGGGGAGAAACAAACGCCUAUUAUGUCACAAAACCACAUUUAGUGCUUAUAACAACCUUGGAAUGAGAUAUUAUCAGAUUUUACUGUUAAUUGGUGAUCAACGGAGGCACUUCUAUGUGGACUGGCUGUCAUUAUAGCUGCUGCCCUUGGCACCAAUUUCGAGGAGGGCUUUGGAACAGCCCUCUGGGGUGUGGGUUGUGGCUCAGUCACCUCCCCUCUAAAUCUCAGUUUCCUUAACAGUAAAAAUAAGUUUCCAGGACUGUUAUGGGGAUUAGGGCCAACUGUAAAAGUGGCUGAGGAGACUAGGUAAAGAGUGUUGUCUCACUUUAGAACAAUGCUGAAGGUGUUUAGAGCCUGCCAUCCUAAAAUAUGCCACUUUGGCAUACUGAUUCUUCUGAGCCAGAGGCAAUGGAGCAAAAACAGAUGCAGGGAAGGCUGUCUGACCACCCUCUUUCUGUUUGAAGCGGAACAUAAAAGUUCCCUUGUGAAAGGUGCCCUUUCUGUACCAGGAAGAGGAGAAUAUUAUUGCCAGAGGCAGAGUUGCCACUGAGAAGAAUCUACAAACAAAACCUUACAAAAAUUUGUAACCCAUAUUUUCCAUUAACUUUCUACAUACGGUUCUUCGUCACUUUCCCACAAUUUGCCAGCCUUAGCCCAAGCCCCUUUGUCUUGUCACAUCCCUGCAAUUUAUUAUUUUUUGUUUAAAAGGACAUAUAAGCUUUCGGGCCUAGUAACUUCUAUGGGUCUUUAUUUUUCUUACAAAGCCUCCUGUGCAUGUACAAAAAUAUUAAAACUUUUAUGCCUUUUCCAGUAAAUCUGUCUUAUGUUAGUGUAAUUCCCAUGCCCAGCUACAGAACCAAAGAGGUGAGAAGAGGCCAGGCGUAGUGGCUCAUGCCUGUAAUCCCAACACUUUGGGAGGCUGAGGCAGGUGGAUCACCUGAGGUCAGGAGUUCAAGACCAGCCUGGCCAACAUAGCGAAACCCCAUCUCUACUAAAAUUACAAAAAAUUAGCUGUGUGUAGUGGCAGGCACCUGUAAUCCCAGCUACUCGGGAGGCUGAGGCGGGAGAAUUGCUUGAACCUGGGAGGCAGAGGUUGCAGCCUGGGCGACAGAGCGAGAGACUCCAUCAAAAAAAAAAAAAAAAAAGGUGAGGAGGAAGUUUCUCCUCACCUACAGUGUGAGGAAAUCUAGGCACUUGAUUUCCAUGCUCCUGAAUGUCUCUCCAUUUGGGAACAUAUACCUCUCCUUGCAACUCAUCUGCAAGUGACUCCCUCUCAUUCACUGAAAACUUUGGCCCAUAACUCACCAGCUUCCUCUCCACUACAAGACACUGCCAUGGAUCAGGUCAAUAUCCACAUGUACAGUUGUCCCUCAGUAUCCAUGGAGGAUUGAUUCCAGGACUCCCGAUGAUACCAAAAUCCACAAUCCAUAAAUGCUCAAGUCCCUUAUAUAAAAUGGCAUAGAAUUUGCAUAUAACCUAUGCGCACCCUCCUGUGUGCUUUAAAUCAUCUCUAG